GGUCAAGUUAUUAAGGGCUUACGGUGGAUGCCUUGGGACCAAAAGCCGAUGAAGGGCGCGGCAAGGCUGCGUUAAGCCUCGAUGAGCCGUCUAGCGGGCAUAGUCGGGGAUACCCGAAUGGGGAAACCUUAUCCGGUGUUGAGUCGGAUAAUCCCGGUGUAAACCGGGAGGGUAAGCGGGGGAACUGAAACAUCUAAGUACCCCGAGGAAAAUAAAUCAACCGAGAUUCCCUCAGUAGUGGCGAACGAACGGGGAUCAGCCUAAACCAGUACGACUUAGUGGUAUAAGGACCUAUGUCGUACCGGUGUUGUAGGGACUGCCUAGAGCCACCUUAUUAGGCUCAAAUGAGUUACAAAUCUUAUUCCUAGUCGAAGGAUCCUGGGAAGGACCGUCAUAGAGGGUGAUAGCCCCGUAGGCGAAAGGGAUAGGACUCAUGGCGUGUUACCUGAGUACCACGGGGCACGGGAAACCUUGUGGGAAUCCGGGGGGACCACCCUCCAAGGCUAAAUACUUUUGGUCACCGAUAGCGUACCAGUACCGUGAGGGAAAGGUGAAAAGAACCCCUAGCGGGGAGUGAAAUAGAUCUGAAACCGUAAGCUUACAGAAGGUCGUAGUCCUGACUUUGUCGGGAUGGCGGCGUGCCUAUUGAAGAAUGAUCCGGGGACUUACUGUAUGGAGCGAGGUUAAGGAACUGUAGUUCCGGAGCCGCAGCGAAAGCGAGUCUGAAUAGGGCGCCAAGUUCCAUGUAGUAGACUCGAAACCGGGUGAGCUACCCAUGGCCAGGUUGAAGGUUCGAUAACACGGACUGGAGGACCGAACUCGUGGCUAGUACAAAAGCUUGGGAUGAGCUGUGGGUAGAGGUGAAAUGCCAAUCGAACUCGGAAAUAGCUAGUUCUCCUCGAAAUGCAUUUAGGUGCAGCCUCGAUCUAUAGGUGGACGGAGGUAGGGCACUGACUGGGCUAGGGGGCGUGAGCUUACCAAACCCAAUCAAACCACCAAUGCCGUUUAUCCGUUAAUCGGGAGUGAGACCGGCACAGAUAAGUGCGUCGGUCGAAAGGGAAACAGCCCAGACCACCGGCUAAGGCCCCCAAGAGCAGUCUAAGUGGCAAAGGAAGUUAGGUUCCACAAACAACCAGGAGGUUGGCUUAGAAGCAGCCACCCUUUAAAGAGUGCGUAAUAGCUCACUGGUCGAGGGAUCUGGCGCCGAAAAUGUAACGGGGCUUAAGUCUGCCGCCGAAGCCGUGGAUGUAUAGGUACAAGGUUGAAAUUCUUGGGACUUAAAGUGGAACCAAUGUUGGAUUUUAUCUUCGGAUAUCUGAAGACUGCGGAGAAACUGGCGGAAGCAAGACUGGACGCUUUGAGUAUUGCCUAUGCGUGGUAGAGGAGCGUUCCUCGUGCAGUGAAGGUUAGUUGCGAAUCUAGCUGGAGCGCGGGGAAGUGAGAAUCCCGGAAUGAGUAGCGUAAACUAGGGUUAAAAUCCCUGGCGCCGAAAGCCCAAGGUUUCCUACGCAAUGUUUAUCAGCGUAGGGUUAGUCGGUCCUAAGCCGUAGGCAAGCGCCGAAGGCGAUGGACAGCAGGUUAAUAUUCCUGCACUGCCGAAAUUUCGCUUAAAGCCAAGGAGGGAUGCAGGAGGGUAGGUAGAGCAUGCCCAUUGGACAUGGUGUGUUCUCUUUCGUAGGCGAGUCGGGGCAGGUAAAUCCACUCCGACGUUAAGCUGAGGAUUGAGGGAAUCGAAGCCUUCGGGCUUACGAAACUCUAUUGAACCCAUACUGACGAGAAAAGCUUCGUGGUUAUGGAAUUAGGCAACCGUACCGCAAACCGCCACUGGUGGGCUAGGAUAAAAGUCCUAAGGCGUUCGAGCGAACCUCCGUUAAGGAACUAGACAAAAGAGCCCUGUAACUUCGGGAGAAAGGGCCCCCCGGGGGGUGUAACCACUUGCUGGUGAAGCUUUCUGGGGGCGCAGAGAAGAAGGCCGGGCGACUGUUUAACAAAAACACAGGUCUGUGCUAAGGGGAAACCCUACGUAUACAGGCUGACACCUGCCCAGUGCUGGAAGGUUAAGGGGAGGGGUGAGAGCCUCGAACUGAAGCCCCAGUGAACGGCGGCCGUAACUCUAACGGUCCUAAGGUAGCGAAGUCCCUUGUCGGGUAAGUUCCGACCCGCAUGAAUGGUUGAACGACUUGGGCAUUGUCUCAACGGAGGGCUCGGUGAAAUUGCGGUGCCCGUGAAGACGCGGGCGACCUGCGGCAGGACAAAAAGACCCCGUGGAGCUUUACUGUAACCUGGUAUUGGGCCGGGAACUGUCAUGUGUAGGAUAGGUGGGAGACUUUGAAGUCGCGACGCCAGUCGUGAUGGAGUCAUCGUUGAAAUACCACCCUUGGUUGUUUUUGGUUCUAACCUCAGCAAAACUGGGGGACAGUGCCUGGUGGGCAGUUUAACUGGGGCGGUUGCCUCCGAAAAUGUAACGGAGGCGUCCAAAGGUUCCCUCAGGACGGAUGGAAAUCGUCCUUAGAACGCAUUGGCAUAAGGGAGCUUGACUGCAAGACCUACAAGUCGAGCAGGGACGAAAGUCGGGCAAAGUGAUCCUACGGCACCGUGUGGAAGGGCCGUGGCUUAUCGGAUAAAAGCUACCCCGGGGAUAACAGGCUUAUCUCGCCCAAGAGUUCACAUCGACGGCGAGGUUUGGCACCUCGAUGUCGGCUCGUCCCAUCCUGGGGCUGAAGGCGGUCCCAAGGGUCCGGCUGUUCGCCGGUUAAAGGGGUACGUGAGUUGGGUUCAGAACGUCGUGAGACAGUUCGGUCUCUAUCCGCCGUGGGCGCAGGAGGCUUGAGGGAACCUCUUCCUAGUACGAGAGGACCGGAAGGGAUAGACCUAUGGUGUGCCAGUUGUUCCGCCAGGAGCAGCGCUGGGUAGCCAUGUCUAGUAUUGAUAAGCGCUGAAGGCAUCUAAGCGCGAAGCUGCCCCCAAGAUGAGGCCUCCCUUCCCUAUUAAGUUAGGGAGUAAGACUGCAGAGAGACUAUCUGCUUGAUAGGCCGGGUGUGUAAGGAUAGUAAUAUCUUCAGCAUACCGGUACUAACCGGUCGAGAGACUUGACCUA
rnacentral:rRNA from 1 species